UUUUACAGUACUAUAUUAAAAUACUGUUAAUGAACUCCACGCCCUUUAGGUUAAAUUCCUGUGAGGCUAUGAACUGAGAGGCUUGGCACAAAGCUUAUUUAGUGGAGUCAGUGGCUGUGUAAGUCCAUGCUGCUGUGUACGGCAGGCAUGACCCUCUGACAUGAGGUGAGGUCAGCUCCUCCCCCUGCUCAGGGUCUAUGACACCCACUACAGCAACUCAGAAUGUGAGGACAAAGGGCAACUCACCCCUGUCCAUGGGCUCUGCAACAGCUUGGGCAUGAGGAGCACAGGGCAGGACCCCAGUAUUCUGAGAGCUUCUCCGCUGGUGGGUCCAUCUGGGUCCAGCAUGACCGAGGACCCCAUGCUUUCAGUGGGCAAUCCUGUUCCAUCACAUGGGUGUACCAUAUUUCCUCUGCCUGCUCACCAGCUGCUGGACAGUGCAGCCCACUCCUUCCUAACUACACAGCCUGCAGUCAGACAUCCAACGAGGCUAGGCACGGGCCUCUCUGAGACAUCAACUUGCUGCCCUUAACCAAGCUGGCUCUGCGCUCCCUGCCUGCCCUGGGACUGCAGCCAGUGCCAGCACUCGCGCCCUUCACGCUGAGGUGCCUCAGCCCUAGACCCAGAUUCCAGCCUGAUCUUUGGGGUUGAGCAUGAAACAGGUUGGCACCAGGGGAAGGAAGAUACAGUGUGUGUCCUGCCAUCUGCUAACAAGAUGAAGAAACUGAGGCCCCAAGUCUACUACUGAGGGUUGGUGGACACCAGGAGCCAGCUUGAGGGCCCCUUGGGGAUCCAUCCCCUGGGAUCACACUCACUCUGAGCAACGUGUUUUGGUUGUUUCAUUCACUUCAUUUGGAAGAAAUGAGAAGCACACAGGUAAGAUAAAGACAAAAGAUGCUGCCCGGAGAGGUUUCUGAGGACUCAGCCAAACCAAAAGGGACACUGCAGCAGUCCACUGCCUGCAUACAGCUGGUGCUCACUGGUGGCAGUUCACAGAGAGGCAAAGAAGUCAUCACGGAGCAAGAAGCAGAGAGCAGACAAAGAAAGGAAGUAUCUCACUAAUGCUCUGUCUCCCUCGCUCAGGUCUUGAAGUGGGCAUUGGCUGAUGCAUUUCAACCCUCUAAAUAGACAAAUUUCAGCACAAAAUCCUUCCUUUGCUAGCGUACUGUGCUUAAACACAGAGCAGGAAUGGAGAAAAGAUGGAAAGGAAAUGAAGUGAUGGGAAAUCUUGUCAACAGGGGAAAAAAGUAAGAGUUUUAAAUGGCA